rnacentral:rRNA from 1 species
GAUGAACGCUGGCGGCGUGCUUAACACAUGCAAGUCGAACGGUGAACGAGGGAGCUUGCUCCCUCCGGAUCAGUGGCGAACGGGUGAGUAACACGUGAGCAAUCUGCCCCGAACCCUGGGAUAAGCGCUGGAAACGGCGUCUAAUACCGGAUACGACGCGCGAAGGCAUCUUCUGCGCGUGGAAAGAAUUUCGGUUCGGGAUGAGCUCGCGGCCUAUCAGCUAGUUGGGGAGGUAACGGCUCACCAAGGCGACGACGGGUAGCCGGCCUGAGAGGGUGACCGGCCACACUGGGACUGAGACACAGCCCAGACUCCUACGGGAGGCAGCAGUGGGGAAUAUUGCACAAUGGGCGCAAGCCUGAUGCAGCAACGCCGCGUGAGGGACGACGGCCUUCGGGUUGUAAACCUCUUUUAGUAGGGAAGAAGCGAAAGUGACGGUACCUGCAGAAAAAGCACCGGCUAACUACGUGCCAGCAGCCGCCGUAACAC